rnacentral:rRNA from 1 species
GAUGAACGCUGGCGGCGUGCCUAAUACAUGCAAGUCGAGCGAACAGACGAGGAGCUUGCUCCUCUGACGUUAGCGGCGGACGGGUGAGUAACACGUGGAUAACCUACCUAUAAGACUGGGAUAACUUCGGGAAACCGGAGCUAAUACCGGAUAAUAUAUUGAACCGCAUGGUUCAAUAGUGAAAGACGGUUUUGCUGUCACUUAUAGAUGGAUCCGCGCCGCAUUAGCUAGUUGGUAAGGUAACGGCUUACCAAGGCAACGAUGCGUAGCCGACCUGAGAGGGUGAUAGGCCACACUGGAACUGAGACACGGUCCAGACUCCUACGGGAGGCAGCAGUAGGGAAUCUUCCGCAAUGGGCGAAAGCCUGACGGAGCAACGCCGCGUGAGUGAUGAAGGUCUUCGGAUCGUAAAGCUCUGUUAUUAGGGAAGAACAAAUGUGUAAGUAACUAUGCACGUCUUGACGGUACCUAAUCAGAAAGCCACGGCUAACUACGUG